ACUCCUUUAGCUCAGUAGGUUAGAGCAGUAUCCUUAUAAGAUAAAGGUCUCUGGUUCAAGCCCAGAAAGGAGUA
rnacentral:tRNA from 1 species